UGCAAAGAGGCUGAAGCAAUCAGCUGAGCUGAUUGCAAUGGAAGCCAUUGUAUAUUACUCAGCAGGAAAACAAUAUGCUCUCUGCCUGGCAAAAAACAGGGGUUUCUGCUUCUCCUGAGCUUCUAGCGCCAUGGAGAACCAAUGCAGCCACACAGAUUCAGCUCCUCUUCAAGCAUCUGACCACCCAGAUGCUCAAGAAAUAGAAGAGUGAGAUUAUCCACAGCUGCAAGAUCCCAAAUACUUAAUAUGUGAAGAUAAUUCUUUCUCAGGAAGUAAAAAUUAUCUUUCAAAAAAUCAGAAGAAAGCCACUGACACAGCUGGAUGCUGAAUUCAUGUGACCAGUGAAUGUAGUUGUACUUCUACCCGUUUUAGUUAUAUAAAAGCACUUUUAGAGGUUCUUUAAUAAAGGCAGCACAGAUGAUUAUUUGCAGAAGUACUCUAAGCUUAAAACGUAAGCAACUCUAAGCCUUCUUAGUCAUGGACAGAUGUUUAUUAAAAUCAGCAAUUAAUAAAAAAAUUUGUAUCUCAAAUAUGGAAAUUAAUAAAACAAAG